AAACUCGAGAUCUUACAGUCUAAUAAUACUACUAUUGCAAAGUUAUAGAAAUCUGUGGCACAUUUAGUUUCUUGCUCAUUCAUAAAUCAGCUAGUAAAUUGGAAAGCCAUAUCAACACAUCAAGCGUACCAGCAAAGAAAGUGUAUUCUCUGAAUUUACAAGGAAAAAAAUAAGAUAAAAAUCAUACAUGAUAGAGAUAUAUAUUCCCAAUAGGUGCUAACCAUGCAAUUGAUUAGCAAAAACUAGUGUAACUUGAGACAUUUACAAGAGUCACCAAUUUGAUGCCUCAAAUACGGCUUGAAUCUCUUCCAAAAAUAAAUCUCCGAGUCCAAUCAGAGACCACCAACACCCUUGUGCGCCAGCUAACUUGCUUGCUGAACCAAAGAAAUAGUUAGAGUAUAUCAAAUUCAAGGAUGCACAGAUCAAGUGCUCACUCAAUCAGUCACACAAAAAUUUAAAAUGCUUUAAGUAGUGGAUACUCACCUUGCAUAUACAGAAUACCAGAGCCACUGAGUGCUAUGACCCAUGGAAACCCAAUCUCCAGGCAGUUCUGCAGCAGCCUGCUCGCCUCCCAAAGGGGCAAAUUGUCCAAAAUGUUUGUACCUUCCAGUUUCCGGCACCUCAAAGGUCAGAAAAGGGCUAAAAGAACAAAUUGCAGAAAUAAUUGACAAAAUCAUACUAUCAGUUAGAAUCCUUGAUCACAGAGAUGGAAAUUUUCCUCUUGUGAUGAAAGAUUUUCUUAAUUUCUUAGGAAAAAGGAAAAAAAAUUAUGAAAUGGUUUUUUUCUUUUCGUAAUUAUCAGUUAAAGCUGUAUUUUUUGCACAAGAAGGCAGUAAAAGUUAAAGAUGUUGAUGGAUAAAAGCCACUUUUUAAGAGAGUAUAUAAAAACAGAAACAUAGCUUGCAAAAGAAAAAAAAAAUCUGGUUGCUAAUGUCCUUAAACAAAGAAAGACACUGCAUUUAAUAGAAGAAGAGAUAAGCACUCCAAAGCAAAUAGCAAUAGCAUACUCGAAGGGACGGAAAUGGUGACGCCCAGAACCUCUAAAACGUCGAGGGCCUUCAGGAUUAUCUUUGCAUUCCUCCAUACGGUUGAAGCACCUAGAAAGAUAUGUACCUUGUUGAGCAGCAACCUGUGCAGUUGCAGGCAAGCUUUUCGUCAGUGAAUCCACAUGGGAAAGGGCUUGCUUAAGCCCUUCAAUAUCCACUUCCUUUCUGUCAUUCCCCUCAGGAUCUUUCAGCAAAUCUGCAACAUCUAUCAGAUGCUUGUUUCUUAAAUACAGUCCCACUUGAGGGUACCUUAUGAGGAUGUCAUCUAUUAUGUCUCGAAAUUCUUGAACAGUCAAGGUACCAGAGUUGUCUUUGUCUGCAGCUUUAAAAAUGGCCCCAAUAUCUUCCAUGACCUUUCGUUGAUCUAUUGUAGCACAAUCUCCAAGUGCAUAUACAUUUUCGCAUCCCUUUACUCGCAGCCAUUCAUUAGUUGCAAGAGCACGUCUAUUGGCCUGCCCAAUUUGCUCUAUGAAAUCCCUCACAACUGGGCGAGUGUUAAGUCCGGUAGACCAUACAACCAAUCCAUGUGGUAUAGAGCAAACUUCUCCCUUGGAUUUCACCUUCAUGGUGAUUUCUUUAUCAGAAACACUAAGAACUCGGCAUCCUGUUUUAACUUCAAUACCAUCCCUUUGAAACUUCUGUUCAGCAAACGAACUGAUUCUCUCAUCAAACAUGUUCAAAAUGUGAUCUCCAGAUUGGAUCACAGUUAUUUUCACUAGAUCUUUAACCAUUGGAUAAAUAUUGACUAAAUCUUCUUGCAGAAAGUCAUGCAGCUCUGCAGCAAACUCCACACCAGUAGGACCUCCUCCAACAACUACAAAAUGAAGGUUUAUUCUACGCUCUUCUUCAGUUAGAUUAGGAAGAGCAGCCUUUUCAAAACAAUCAAUCACACUCCUUCGGAGCUUCUGAGCAUCUUCCAAGUCCUUAAGAAAAUGGCAGUUCUCCAUGACACCAGGGGUGUUGAAAGUGUUUACUUGGGCUCCCACUGCAAUAACUAAAUAGUCAUAUUCCACAGAAAAAUCUUCAGUCCCAACCACACUGCUCCCAAAAUUGGGCUUGCAGAAAACUUUGUUGUUUUCAGCAUCAAUCUUGACACAUUCUGCCUCCCAAAAUUGAAUUUCUCCAUUUCUCUUCUUUAUAAUAUUUCGAACUGGCUCUGCAAUGCUUCGAGCUUCAACUGUUCCACAGGUGACACUGGGUAACAGGGGGGUGAAUGCAAAAUAAUUCCGGGGUGAAACAACUUGAACAUCAUAUGAAGAAACAUCCAGAUUUUUAAGGAAACUAAUACCAGCCCAUCCUGUUCCCAGAACCACUACUCUCUUCUUUUUGCGCUCAUUUCGAUUAAACUCAGCAGGGGGUGUGUUGUUGAUUUCUGACUGUGACUCAGAAUAAGCCACUAUACCUCCACUACUAAAAGUAGUGAAGAGAAUGAGAAGCUUAGUGUAAGAAGAGCAUCCAUGGAAAGCUUGCGAAGCUCUCUUAAAAAAGGAGAUGAUCGUCAUUGGGAAACCAGAGUUAAUAUCUGAUCCGAUCAAGCAGGAACUUUAGUUCUCUUCACAGAGAUAGAAAGCUUUGACUGAGAUUCUGUGCAGUGAAGAAGGAGAGAAUGGAUGCGUUUUCUUCUCCGUUGAUCACGAACCCCGUACAAGUCAUCCUUCCG
rnacentral:misc_RNA from 1 species